GGAAAUGCGGAGCCGCGUGGUUCUGGGGGAGUUUGGAGUUCGCAAUGUCCAUACUACUGACUUUCCCGGUAACUAUUCCGGUUAUGAUGAUGCCUGGGACCAGGACCGCUUCGAGAAGAAUUUCCGUGUGGAUGUAGUACACAUGGAUGAAAACUCACUGGAGUUUGACAUGGUGGGAAUUGACGCAGCCAUUGCCAAUGCUUUUCGACGAAUUCUGCUAGCUGAGGUGCCAACUAUGGCUGUGGAGAAGGUCCUGGUGUACAAUAAUACAUCCAUUGUUCAGGAUGAGAUUCUUGCUCACCGUCUGGGGCUCAUUCCCAUUCAUGCAGAUCCCCGUCUUUUUGAGUACCGGAACCAAGGUGAGAAAAUGAAAUUUUGGGAGAAGUGGACUAUCUGGGUUCAAAUCCUGGUUGACUGUGAUGUUGGGUAAGUUACUUAUCUUUGUACAUCAGUGUUUUUCAUCUGUGAGAACACUUGCCUUGUCUCCCAAGUUUGCCAUAAUUAAAUGGGAAACACGUAAAGCAUUCAGCAUAGUGCUGGCACUCAGACGUUUACUAGUUCUUAGGAGCUCCCUCCAUUUGUGCAGGAGAUGAAGAAGGCACAGAGAUAGAUACUCUACAGUUUCGUCUCCAAGUCAGAUGCACUCGGAACCCCCAUGCUGCUAAAGAUUCCUCUGACCCCAACGAACUGUACGUGAACCACAAAGGUGAGUAGUGGUAGGGUGAGGAAGAGGCCCCACCUGUGGGUAGCUGCUAGUUUUAGGGACUGAGAUCUUCUGACAUGUUUUUCCUCCAGUGUAUACCAGGCAUAUGACAUGGAUCCCCCUGGGGAACCAGGCUGAUCUCUUUCCAGAGGGCACUAUCCGACCAGUGCACGAUGAUAUCCUCAUCGCUCAGCUGCGGCCUGGCCAAGAAAUUGACCUGCUCAUGCACUGUGUCAAGGGCAUUGGUGAGAACCCUGUGUGCCUUCCUGGGAAGGGGGAUAGUUCGGUUGCAGUGGGGCAAGCUGACUAGGGAACUCAGCUGAGAUAUUCCCGGCAGGUAGAAAGCCAAGAGGGUUGUGCUUUUGCUGUUAGUAGCUUAGGAGGAGUAUUCUUCCUAACCCUAGAAGGGUUUCCUAUAGGCAUGUUCCUUCUUCCUCUCCAGGCAAAGAUCAUGCCAAGUUUUCACCAGUGGCAACAGCCAGUUACAGGCUCCUGCCAGACAUCACCCUGCUUGAGCCCGUGGAAGGGGAGGCAGCUGAGGAGUUGAGCAGGUGCUUCUCACCUGGUGUUAUUGAGGUGCAGGAAGUCCAAGGUAUGGUAUUUGGGAUGCUGUUCAAGUUAGGAACUAAAUUAUAUUUUCUUUGAAGGUGACAGAAAUAAAAACCCUGGGCUCCUAAAAGUAUAACAUGGUUUGCUACCAAGUGGCAAAUUAGAAAAAAGAAUAAAAAAACAUGGUUUGUUCUCAUUAGGUAAAAAGGUGGCCAGAGUUGCCAACCCCCGGCUGGAUACCUUCAGCAGAGAAAUCUUCCGGAAUGAGAAGCUAAAGAAGGUUGUGAGGCUUGCCCGGGUUCGAGAUCAUUAUAUCUUCUCUGUUGAGUCAACGGGGGUGUUGCCACCAGAUGUGCUGGUGAGUGAAGCCAUCAAAGUACUGAUGGGGAAGUGCCGGCGCUUCUUGGAUGAACUAGAUGCGGUUCAGAUGGACUGAGCUUGGAUGCUUCUGAGGCAAGCUGAAGCUUUGGGUUCUGACUGACCCACCCUACAGGACUGCUGAACAGAGCCCAGUGUGACUAGGGAUCCUGAGUUUUCUGGGACAAUUCCAGCUUUAAUCAAUACAUUUUGUUAAAUGUGCCAUAAAAUGAGACUUUUUACGCCUUUAUAAGGCCUUAGAUGUAAAUAA
rnacentral:sRNA from 1 species